UGUGAAUUGCAGAACACAUUGAACAUCGACAUCUUGAACGCACAUGGCGGCCUCGGGUCCAUCCCGAGGCCACGCCCGUCUGAGGGUCG
rnacentral:rRNA from 24 species